CUUGAGACGUACAGGGGACCGGGACAGCGAUGACGUUGCCACCGAGGGGCAACGUUUUUCCGGAGGCGACAUUGGAGGGACAUCAUUGCGACUGUUUACCGUCGGUCGGAUCGUGUACGCAACGGGGUACUUUCCUGAUCGGACGAGCACA